rnacentral:lncRNA from 1 species
AUGCGGCUGAGGACCCCCAAGCCAGGCAGACGCCAAUCCAGACCCCACGCGGCCGCGGACCCCAACCCAGACAGACCCCGACCCACCCGUGCAGCCCCCAGCCCCAGAAGUCAAACCCCAGCGUCCCCCAGGGCGGCCCGGGCUCCCUCAGAUACAGCAGCUUCCUGAGGUGGCCUCACCUGCAACUCCAGACCAAUCAGAGAAGGCCAAAUGGGCUCCCCAAGCCCAGCAGGUGGGACCCCCGAUCUAGAGAGCCCCUUCCCCGCCCCAGGCCAACAGCCACCCUCGGGCUCCGCAUCAGGUCUGCCAAAUGCAGGGGCGAGGGGCCGACCCCGCCACGGGAACCAAACUCAGGAAACAGCCCAUCCAGCGUCCAUCUCCAUCCGGACCCGCCGCCGCGGCCGCAGGUUCACGCGCCGUUCCGCGGAGAUCUCUCAGGCGCCUCCGGCCCGGCAGAAACCCGCGGUUCCGAUGGCAGAGGUCCUGGUGGGAAUCGCACCGCCUGCCGUUCCUGCCUCCGCGGAGGAUGCGCUGCCCUAAACUGCCCCCGGCUCUUCAUCCCCCAACCCCCGGCAGCCUCCGACCCUCCCCCGGCCGGCGCAGCUCAGCCUUUCGCAGACGCGGGGGAGCUGGAAUCCGACCACGCGCAGCCUUCUCACCGUGGUGCACGCUUCGGGCCCCCCACGCCUUUCCCAGGCUUCAUCACCCAUUUCUCUCCAGCGCUGAAGGAAACCCCCCAGAUGCUUCUCCACUCACCCACCGAAGCAGGUCUCGGUUGCCCCCAGCCCCGGGCCCUCCCGAGAACACUGCAAGCCCCCACUGGUCCCCUCCCGGCAACCCCACGGCCCAUCCCCAACCUGCACUCACCCUGUGGGGCCUCCACCCUUUGGAGGAAGGACGUGUCAAAGCUUGGAGGUGCGCGGCCUGUCUAACCUCCGCCCAAGGCGCGCGGCAGGCGACAGGUCUCAGCCCGGAUCAGCGUGGUCCAAAAGGACUUAUCGUUAAAAGUGCUGGUCCCAGAACCCAAGGGGAAGACAUGCUGGUUCUCUGA